rnacentral:rRNA from 1 species
UACGUAGGGUGCGAGCGUUGCCCGGAUUUAUUGGGCGUAAAGGGCUCGUAGGCGGUCUGUUGCGUCGGGAGUGAAAACUUACAGCUUAACUGUGAGCGUGCUUCCGAUACGGGCAGACUUGAGGUAUUCAGGGGAGAACGGAAUUCCUGGUGUGGCGGUGAAAUGCGCAGAUAUCAGGAGGAACACCGGUGGCGAAGGCGGUUCUCUGGGAAUAUCCUGACGCUGAGGAGCGAAAGUGUGGGGAGCGAACAGG